GUGCACCAGUCGAGAAUCUUCGGCAAUGGACGCAAGUCUGACCGAGCGACGCCGCGUGCGGGAUGAAGGCCCUUGGGUUGUAAACCGCUGUCAGAGGGGAUGAAAUGCGAGAGGGCUAUCCCUCUCGUUUGACAGAGCCUCAGAGGAAGCACGGGCUAAGUACGUGCCAGCAGCCGCGGUAACACGUACUGUGCGAACGUUAUUCGGAAUCACUGGGCUUAAAGGGUGCGUAGGCGGUUUAGUAAGUAGGGUGUGAAAUGCCAGAGCUCAACUUUGGCACGGCGCUCUAAACUGCUAAACUUGAGUGAGAUAGGGGUGUACGGAACUUCCGGUGGAGCGGUGAAAUGCGUUGAUAUCGGAAGGAACACCGGUGGCGAAAGCGGUACACUGGGUCUUAACUGACGCUGAGGCACGAAAGCCAGGGUAGCGAACGGGAUUAGAUACCCCUGUAGU
rnacentral:rRNA from 1 species